GAUGAAGAACGUAGCGAAAUGCGAUAAGUAAUGUGAAUUGCAGAAUUCAGUGAAUCAUCGAGUUUUUGAACGCAUAUUGCGCCCUCUGGUAUUCCGGGGGGCAUGCCUGUUCGAGCGUCAUUAAAUAACCCUCAAGCAUAGCUUGGUGUUGGGCUUUUUUACGUCCUUGACUGGGUUGGGCCUAAAAAUUAGUGGCGAUGGCUUUUUUACUUUCAAGCGUAGUAAAUCUCGUCUUGCUAAAGAGGAAAAAGAUUUUUUUUCUGCCAAAAAUUUUAACAUUUAAAGUUGACCUCGGAUCAGGUAGGAUUACCCGCUGAACUUAAGCAUAUCAAUAAGCGGAGGA
rnacentral:misc_RNA from 1 species